CCCGCUUAUUCAUACAAGGAGGCAUUCAUCUUUACCUCCCGUCGCUACUAAACGGAGACGUCUGUUACUCGGGUCUACAGACGCACUAAGGACACAAACUGUAGAUGAAGAAGAAACACUGUCAGCUAUUGAUUCUGAUGAUAGUGAAUUGGAGGACAAUAGUCAAAUAUCAUUGGAACAUCCAAUGGUUGGAAUUGAUGACAUUGAUAAGGUUUCCUUGGAAGAAGAGGUAUUAGAUACCACAAUCAAUGGUCACAGUGAUGAUGAUGCUGAUGAUGAUGAUGAUUGUGAUGAUGGUGAUGAUGAUGAUGAUGGCACUGAAAAAGCCCCAAAAAAUAGCAAACAAAGUUUUGUUCGUCAUAUACCAUCCACUGAUGUUCCAAAACUAGAGUUAUGCUUGGCAUCAACCACAAUAAUUUUGGAACUACUGAAGACACUGCAUGGUCCUGUUUGUACAAGAGUUGGAUGUAGUCGUCCAUUGAAUUUCAGGAAUUCAUUUGUUGGAACAUGCCUAGUUGUUAAUUGGGGUUGUUCUGCUGGCCACUUUGGUGGGAGGUAUGUCUAUUUCCAACUUGUCUAUUAUCACUGCAAUAUUUGAAAAAAGAAGAACAACACCUGGCCAUGUUACACAGAAGUUAGGUCUUGCUCCAGAUGACCCCCGGAACAUUGCCAGGAAUAUUGCUGUGGUACCCCAGCCUCCAAUGGAAGAGCUUCUGAGACAACACAAAACAAGGUUUUGAUAUGAGGGAAUACCUUACUUGUGACACUAUAACUUGAUGUCACACAUCCAUGGACUAUAUAUAUGUAAUUUUAGAUGAUUUGUGGGAAUUUAAAUAUUGGUAGGGGAGGCAUGCAUAAUAUUGUGUGCAAGUAUCUUAUAAAUUAUAGUGAAUGAAUAAAUUUGCAUAGGUCAUGCC